GAUGAACGCUGGCGGCGUGCCUAAUACAUGCAAGUCGAGCGAACAGACGAGGAGCUUGCUCCUCUGACGUUAGCGGCGGACGGGUGAGUAACACGUGGAUAACCUACCUAUAAGACUGGGAUAACUUCGGGAAACCGGAGCUAAUACCGGAUAAUAUAUUGAACCGCAUGGUUCAAUAGUGAAAGACGGUUUUGCUGUCACUUAUAGAUGGAUCCGCGCCGCAUUAGCUAGUUGUUAAGGUAACGGCUUACCAAGGCAACGAUGCGUAGCCGACCUGAGAGGGGGAUCGGCCACACUGGAACUGAGACACGGUCAAGACUCCUACGGGAGGCAGCAGUAGGGAAUCUUACGCAAUGGGCGAAAGCAUGACGGAGCAACGCCGCGUGAGUGAUGAAGGUCUUCGGAUCGUAAAAAUCUGUUAUUAGGGAAGAACAAAUGUGUAAGUAACUAUGCACGUCUUGACGGUACCUAAUCAGAAAGCCACGGCUAACUACGUG
rnacentral:rRNA from 1 species